CCUACGGGGGGCAGCAGUGGGGAAUAUUGGACAAUGGGGGCAACCCUGAUCCAGCCAUGCCGCGUGUGUGAAGAAGGCCCUCGGGUUGUAAAGCACUUUCAGUGAGGAAGAACGCCUGGUGGUUAAUACCCAUCAGGAAAGACAUCACUCACAGAAGAAGCACCGGCUAACUCCGUGCCAGCAGCCGCGGUAAUACGGAGGGUGCGAGCGUUAAUCGGAAUUACUGGGCGUAAAGCGCGCGUAGGUGGCUUGAUAAGCCGGUUGUGAAAGCCCCGGGCUCAACCUGGGAACGGCAUCCGGAACUGUCAAGCUAGAGUGCAGGAGAGGAAGGUAGAAUUCCCGGUGUAGCGGUGAAAUGCGUAGAGAUCGGGAGGAAUACCAGUGGCGAAGGCGGCCUUCUGGACUGACACUGACACUGAGGUGCGAAAGCGUGGGUAGCAAACAGGAUUAGAUUACCCUAGUAGUC
rnacentral:rRNA from 1 species